GAUGAACGCUGGCGGCGUGCUUAACACAUGCAAGUCGAGCGAAGCAAUUUUAAGGAAGCCUUCGGGUGGAAAUAAAAUUGACUGAGCGGCGGACGGGUGAGUAACGCGUGGGUAACCUGCCUCAUACAGGGGGAUAACAGUUAGAAAUGACUGCUAAUACCGCAUAAGCGCACAGUGCUGCAUAGCACAGUGUGAAAAACUCCGGUGGUAUGAGAUGGACCCGCGUCUGAUUAGGUAGUUGGUAGGGUAACGGCCUACCAAGCCGACGAUCAGUAGCCGACCUGAGAGGGUGACCGGCCACAUUGGGACUGAGACACGGCCCAAACUCCUACGGGAGGCAGCAGUGGGGAAUAUUGGACAAUGGGGGAAACCCUGAUCCAGCGACGCCGCGUGAGUGAAGAAGUAUUUCGGUAUGUAAAGCUCUAUCAGCAGGGAAGAAAAUGACGGUACCUGACUAAGAAGCCCCGGCUAACUACGUGCCAGCAGCCGCCGUAAAAC
rnacentral:rRNA from 1 species